rnacentral:rRNA from 1 species
AGAGUUUGAUCCUGGCUCAGAUUGAACGCUAGCGGGAUGCUUUACACAUGCAAGUCGAACGGCAGCACGAGAGAGCUUGCUCUCUUGGUGGCGAGUGGCGGACGGGUGAGUAAUAUAUCGGAACGUGCCCAGUAGCGGGGGAUAACUACUCGAAAGAGUGGCUAAUACCGCAUACGCCCUACGGGGGAAAGGGGGGGAUCGCAAGACCUCUCACUAUUGGAGCGGCCGAUAUCGGAUUAGCUAGUUGGUGGGGUAAAGGCUCACCAAGGCAACGAUCCGUAGCUGGUUUGAGAGGACGACCAGCCACACUGGGACUGAGACACGGCCCAGACUCCUACGGGAGGCAGCAGUGGGGAAUUUUGGACAAUGGGGGAAACCCUGAUCCAGCCAUCCCGCGUGUAUGAUGAAGGCCUUCGGGUUGUAAAGUACUUUUGGCAGAGAAGAAAAGGCAUCCCCUAAUACGGGAUGCUGCUGACGGUAUCUGCAGAAUAAGCACCGGCUAACUACGUGCCAGCAGCCGCGGUAAUACGUAGGGUGCAAGCGUUAAUCGGAAUUACUGGGCGUAAAGCGUGUGUAGGCGGUUCGGAAAGAAAGAUGUGAAAUCCCAGGGCUCAACCUUGGAACUGCAUUUUUAACUGCCGAGCUAGAGUAUGUCAGAGGGGGGUAGAAUUCCACGUGUAGCAGUGAAAUGCGUAGAUAUGUGGAGGAAUACCGAUGGCGAAGGCAGCCCCCUGGGAUAAUACUGACGCUCAGACACGAAAGCGUGGGGAGCAAAAAGGAUUAGAUACCCUGGUAGUCCACGCCCU